rnacentral:rRNA from 1 species
AGAGUUUGAUCCUGGCUCAGGAUGAACGCUGGCGGCGUGCCUAACACAUGCAAGUCGAACGAAGCACUGAGACUUCGGUUUUUGUGCUUAGUGGCGGACGGGUGAGUAACGCGUGAGCAAUCUGCCUUUCAGAGGGGGAUAACGAUUGGAAACGAUCGCUAAUACCGCAUAACGUAUUCGGAUGGCAUCUUCUGAAUACCAAAGGAGCAAUCCGCUGAAAGAUGAGCUCGCGUCUGAUUAGAUAGUUGGUGAGGUAACGGCCCACCAAGUCGACGAUCAGUAGCCGGACUGAGAGGUUGAACGGCCACAUUGGGACUGAGACACGGCCCAGACUCCUACGGGAGGCAGCAGUGGGGAAUAUUGCGCAAUGGGGGAAACCCUGACGCAGCAACGCCGCGUGAUUGAAGAAGGUCUUCGGAUUGUAAAAAUCUUUUAUCAAGGACGAAGAAGUGACGGUACUUGAUGAAUAAGCUCCGGCUAACUACGUGCCAGCAGCCGCGGUAAUACGUAGGGAGCAAGCGUUAUCCGGAUUUACUGGGUGUAAAGGGCGAGUAGGCGGAUUGGCAAGUUGGGAGUGAAAUGUCGGGGCUUAACCCCGGAACUGCUUCCAAAACUGUUGAUCUUGAGUGAUGGAGAGGCAGGCGGAAUUCCCAGUGUAGCGGUGAAAUGCGUAGAUAUUGGGAGGAACACCAGUGGCGAAGGCGGCCUGCUGGACAUUAACUGACGCUGAGGAGCGAAAGCGUGGGGAGCAAACAGGAUUAGAUACCCUGGUAGUCCACGCCGUAAACGAUGGAUACUAGGUGUGGGAGGUAUUGACCCCUUCCGUGCCGCAGUUAACACAUUAAGUAUCCCACCUGGGGAGUACGACCGCAAGGUUGAAACUCAAAGGAAUUGACGGGGGCCCGCACAAGCAGUGGAGUAUGUGGU